GGGCCCGCACAAGCGGUGGAGCAUGUGGUUUAAUUCGAAGCAACGCGAAGAACCUUACCAGGUCUUGACAUACUCGUGCUAUUCCUAGAGAUAGGAAGUUCCUUCGGGGGACAAAGUGACAGGUGGUGCAUGGUUGUCGUCAGCUCGUGUCGUGAGAUGUUGGGUUAAGUCCCGCAACGAGCGCAACCCUUAUCUUUAGUUGCCAUCAUUAAGUUGGGCACUCUAACGAGACUGCCGGUGAUAAACCGGAGGAAGGUGGGG
rnacentral:rRNA from 1 species